UGGGGAAUUUUCGACAAUGGGGGGAACCCUGAUCGAGCCAUCCCGCGUGUGGGACGAAGGCCUUCGGGUUGUAAACCACUUUUCUCAGCGAAGAAAAGCGUUGGACUAAUACUCCAACGUGCUGACGGUAGCUGAGGAAUAAGCACCGGCUAACUAUGUGCCAGCAGCCGCGGUAAUACAUAGGGUGCAAGCGUUAAUCGGAAUUACUGGGCGUAAAGGGUGCGCAGGCGGCUAAGCAAGAACGGUGUGAAAUCCCGGGGCUCAACCUCGGAACUGCACUAUUAACUGCUUAGCUAGAGUAUGUCAGAGGGGGGUGGAAUUCCGCGUGUAGCAGUGAAAUGCGUAGAUAUGCGGAGGAACACCGAUGGCGAAGGCAGCCCCCUGGGAUAGUACUGACGCUCAGGCACGAAAGCGUGGGUAGCAAACAG
rnacentral:rRNA from 1 species